UACGGAGGGUGCAAGCGUUAUCCGGAUUCACUGGGUUUAAAGGGUGCGUAGGAGGGCAGGUAAGUCAGUGGUGAAAUCUCCGAGCUUAACUUGGAAACUGCCGUUGAUACUAUUAGUCUUGAAUUCUGUUGAGGUAGGCGGAAUAUAUCAUGUAGCGGUGAAAUGCUUAGAUAUGAUAUAGAACACCGAUUGCGAAGGCAGCUUACUAAGCAGAUAUUGACGCUGAGGCACGAAAGCGUGGGGAUCAAACAGG
rnacentral:rRNA from 1 species